rnacentral:rRNA from 1 species
GACGAACGCUGGCGGCGUGCUUAACACAUGCAAGUCGAGCGGUAAGGCCCUUUCGGGGGUACACGAGCGGCGAACGGGUGAGUAACACGUGGGUGACCUGCCCUCAGCUCUGGGAUAAGCCUGGGAAACCGGGUCUAAUACCGGAUAUGACUCCAUGACGCAUGUUGUGGGGUGGAAAGCCUUGUGUGGCUAUAGAUGGGCCCGCGGCCUAUCAGCUUGUUGGUGGGGUGAUGGCCUACCAAGGCGACGACGGGUAGCCGGCCUGAGAGGGCGACGGCCACACUGGGACUGAGACACGGCCCAGACUCCUACGGGAGGCAGCAGUGGGGAAUCUUGCGCAAUGGGCGAAAGCCUGACGCAGCGACGCCGCGUGAGGGAUGACGGCC